rnacentral:lncRNA from 1 species
AGGAGGAGUCCGGAGCAGGGAGCGGAGAGUGACAGGCGACGCUGUCCAAUAACAGGAGGGGUUGGGCUGCCUGAGCCAAUAGAAAGUCCGUAAGGCGGGACGAGGACUGCAGCAAGUUCGGUUGCGCGGAGACCGCAGCUGUUCCCUGUCAGUGGAGGCAGCGGCUGUAGAGGCGGUGGCGACGACUUGCGGCGGCAGCGAGGAGGUAGCACCUGCCUUCCGAGAGCUGACAGAACGCUGAGGGCCAGAGAAGCAGGAGGGGGCUGGGAUGCCAAGGCCGCUCGCGUACGUUUCCACCAGCUGUAUGUGGAAUGGGGCCAGACUCCACAUGUGGCAGCUCCUCUCCUGACCGACAUCCGUCCCCGCCUGAGGCCUCGGGAAAAUUCCAUGAUGUGGCUGUGCUGAGUCAUGCUUAGUGUCUGAGGAUCCGUAUGUCACCUUUCGCGUGUCUGUCACUGGUCAGCCCUGGGUCUGGGAAAGGCUGCAGCUUCCACAGCAGCCGUGAUAUCCUGCUGCUGAUCCUUUCUGUUUACCCACUGCUGUGUGCCUCUCCCGAGUGCUUUGACUGCUGUGCCGUUUAUCAGUAUAUCAUUGAUUAAUAUUAAAUACUAAGUGGAUUACUUAUUCUGGAAAAUAUUCUUCUCAUGAAUGAAGAAACUGAGGUUUGGAGAGACUAAGUGACUUGGAGAAUUUUGGGUGACUGGCGAGUGGCAAGUCUGGGUGAGAUUUUUGAUGAUAUCUCACUCCCACACACCCCCCCUUGUGGUUUCUUGUGUAAUGCAAAGAUUAUUCAGAAGAUACUUUGGUUGAAAAAAAUGAUUUUCAAUUUGUUCAAGUUACAAACUCAAAAAAAAACUCACUCUUUAAGGGCUAGACUUUUCCAUUUAGCUUUUAAGUAUAGCCUACAAAUCUUUUCUGUUCUUUUUUUUUUUUUUUCUCUUUUUGAUUCUAGAAAAUUUUAACAAUCACUUUAAGGGGCCCUUUGGUUAAUACUGAUCCAUUUGCAAGAUUAACUCAUUGGAAAAUUCCAGAUCGAGUUUAUGAAUGACGUUCAACUUCCUUUAAUUAAUACUUGCAAGUGUCUGAUUAACAAAAUCUUUAAUACUUCAGUAUUCCUGUAAAUCUAAUAAUUUAAAUGGACUCAGUUUUUCUUAAGCAUUCCUGUGUUGUUUUAUGUUUUAUUAUUGACGCAGCUUUAUUGAGGUAUUUUUGACAGAAUAAACUGCACAUAUUUUAAGUGUAUGCUUUAUGUUUUGACAUAUGCAUAUACUUGUGAAAUCAUAACUGCAAUUAGGACAGUGAUUAUCCCAAAGCAUCCCCACGCCCCUGGGCAAUCCCUCCCUCCCUCAUGCCCCUUGGCAAUUCCUCUUUGCCUCCCUCACCCACAUGCAACCCUGAACUGUUUUCUGUUACUAUAGAUUAGGUUGCAAUUUCUGGAAUUUUCCAGAAGCGGAAUCAUGUAGUGUGCAUUCCUUUUUGGUCUGGCUUCAUUUACUCGGCAUAAUUAUUUUGGAAUUUGUCCAUAUUGUGUGUACCAAUAGUUCCUUUCAUUGCUGAGUAAUAUUCCAUUAGCGGAAAUUCCACAAGUUGUUUCUCCACUCACCUUUUGUUGGUCAUUUUCGUUGUUUCCAGUUUUUGGCGAUUCUAAAUAAAGGUGCUCUGAGCCUCUG